CAACCUUAGUUCUUCUGGUACUUGUGGUAACAGUCUUAAACGCAGGUAUAUCUACAUCAAGCGAUGUAGGGAGCAAGGGAGUCAAUCGCCAUACGCUCCUCGGCCAUAUUCCAUGUAAAGAAGGAUACCUACGUAAAAAAGGAAAGUGCCUAAAAAUAUUCAAGAAUUAGGAUAUUUUUGGAGGUUUCACAUUCAAACACUAUACCGGGCAUCCAUAAAAAAAUGGACCCAAUUAUACGUGUAUAAAAAAAUAUUAUAACAAUAUUAAAUGUGAAACUAAGAGA